rnacentral:rRNA from 1 species
CCCGUCUUGAAACACGGACCAAGGAGUCUAACAUCCACGCGAGCGUUUGGGUGAUUUUGAAACCCUCGCGCGCAAUGAAAGUGAACGUAGGUGGGAGGCCUGUAUCUCGAUUCAGGCCGCACCAUCGACCGAUCCUGAUGUCUUCGGAUGGAUUUGAGUAUGAGCGUGGCUGUUGGGACCCGAAAGAUGGUGAACUUUGCAUGGAUAGGGUGAAGCCAGAGGAAACUCUGGUGGAGGCUCGCAGCGGUUCUGACGUGCAAAUCGAUCGUCAAAUCAGUGCAAAGGGGCGAAAGACUAAUCGAACCGUCUAGUAGCUGGUUCCUGCCGAAGUUUCCCUCAGGAUAGCAGUAACGAACCCAGUUUUAUGAGGUAGAGCGAAUGAUUAGAGGCCUUGGGGCUGAAACAGCCUUAACCUAUUCUCAAACUUCGAAUAUGUAAGAAGUCCUUGUUUCUUCGCUGAACGUGGACGCUCGAAUGUACCGUUACUAGUGGGCCAUUUUUGGUAAGCAGAACUGGCGAUGCGGGAUGAACCGAACGCGAGGUUAAGGUGCCGGAAUGCACGCUCAUCAGACACCACAAAAGGUGUUAGUUCAUCCAGACAGCAGGACGGUGGCCAUGGAAGUCGGAAUCCGCCAAGGAGUGUGUAACAACUCACCUGCCGAAUGAACUAGCCCUGAAAAUGGAUGGCGCUCAAGCGUGCUACCCAUACCUCGCCGCCGGGGCAGGAUCGAAGCCCCGGCGAGUAGGCAGGCGCGGCGGUCGGUGACG